UUUUACUGAGAGUUUGAUCUUGGCUCAGGAUGAACGCUGGCGGCGUGCCUAACACAUGCAAGUCGAACGGAUGUAGCAAUACAUUAGUGGCGAACGGGUGAGUAACACGUAAGUAACCUACCCAUAAGACUGGAACAACCUGCCGAAAGGUGGGCUAAUUCCAGAUGUGAUCCUAUUUGCGCAUGCAGAUUGGAUUAAAUCCCGCAAGGGGCUUAAGGAUGGGCUUGCGGCCUAUCAGCUAGUUGGUGAGGUAAAGGCUUACCAAGGCUAUGACGGGUAACUGGUCUGAGAGGAUGAUCAGUCACAAUGGAACUGAGACACGGUCCAUACUCCUACGGGAGGCAGCAGUGAGGAAUUUUCCACAAUGGGCGAAAGCCUGAUGGAGCGACGUCGUGUGUGUGAUGAAGUCUUUCGGGAUGUAAAACACUGUCAGGGGGGACGAUAUUGACGGUACCCCCAGAGGAAGCCACGGCUAACUACGUGCCAGCAGCCGCGGUAAUACGUAGGUGGCGAGCGUUAUCCGGAAUUAUUGGGCGUAAAGCGCGCGUAGGUUGUUUUGUAAGUCAAAUGUUAAAGCCUCUGGCUCAACCAGAGUUCGCAUUUGAUACUGCAUUACUAGAGAGAUUCAAAGGGAAGCAGAACUUGCAGUGUAGCGGUGAAAUGCGUAGAUAUUGCAAGGAAUACCAGUGGCGAAGGCGGCUUCCUAGGAUUCUUCUGACACUGAGGCGCGAAAGCUAGGGGAGCAAACGGGAUUAGAUACCCCGGUAGUCCUAGCCCUAAACUAUGUUCACUAGGUGUUCGAGGUAU
rnacentral:rRNA from 1 species